GCCCUUCGGGGUGGAUUAGUGGCGAACGGGUGAGUAACACGUGGGCAAUCUGCCCUUCACUCUGGGACAAGCCCUGGAAACGGGGUCUAAUACCGGAUAACACUCUGUCCCGCAUGGGACGGGGUUAAAAGCUCCGGCGGUGAAGGAUGAGCCCGCGGCCUAUCAGCUUGUUGGUGGGGUAAUGGCCUACCAAGGCGACGACGGGUAGCCGGCCUGAGAGGGCGACCGGCCACACUGGGACUGAGACACGGCCCAGACUCCUACGGGAGGCAGCAGUGGGGAAUAUUGCACAAUGGGCGAAAGCCUGAUGCAGCGACGCCGCGUGAGGGAUGACGGCCUUCGGGUUGUAAACCUCUUUCAGCAGGGAAGAAGCGAAAGUGACGGUACCUGCAGAAGAAGCGCCGGCUAACUACGUGCCAGCAGCCGCGGUAAUACGUAGGGCGCAAGCGUUGUCCGGAAUUAUUGGGCGUAAAGAGCUCGUAGGCGGCUUGUCACGUCGGAUGUGAAAGCCCGGGGCUUAACCCCGGGUCUGCAUUCGAUACGGGCUAGCUAGAGUGUGGUAGGGGAGAUCGGAAUUCCUGGUGUAGCGGUGAAAUGCGCAGAUAU
rnacentral:rRNA from 1 species